UGUGCUUAUUUUGUAGUUGUCCUUUACUGAAGAAAAGAUUAUUGAAACCUACAAUAUUAUUUUUUUCAUUUGUCUUUUUGAUGGGGUUGGAGAAGGAUGCAGCAGAAAACUGAUAUUUUACUCUUUUUUUUUUGGUACAAACUGAUAUUUUACUUUUAGCCCUGCCCUUGUAUUGUAUCAGCUUACUUGUGAAUGCAUCUACACAUAUGUGUGUGUGGCUGUUCGCCUGAAUCUAUGCCUAUAUAUAAUGGGGAUACUAACUUUUGGUUACUUUUUUUCUUUUGAUUUUAUCCUUUAUUUGAACUAAUUUAUUUAUAAUUUUAUCAUUUUUUAUCCAAUUAAAUAAUUGAGUUUUCUAUACAUAUAUAUAAAGGGAAUACUAAUUUCAUUGCUAAUGGUUGAUGAAGUAGGAACUGUAGAAUUUGUAGUUCUGUGUGUCUAAAUUAUAGACCAAACCACCUGUAUUUUGAGCAUAAGUCUUUUGAGCAUCUGUUUAUUUAUCUCUUAAAUUUUCUUCCCGAGUGGGGAGAGCGAAUUAGUUUUCUGUCUAUAUUGUAGCCCAUCAAAGAUCGUUGAGUUAAAUUGAUUUCUUUUUUCCUUUCUUUUCAUAAAUUAGUGGUUUUUGUAAUGGGUUUGUGACAUAUUUUUUCAAUAUAGGACAGGACCAGCAACUGCUCAAGUUGGGGACGGGAAGAAAUAAAAUGUGUGCAAUCAAGCUACCUAAUCAUAAAAGUUCGGUCUCCAAACUCUGGGACGUUGCUAAAAUUCCCGUUGCUAAAAUUCUCUGGGACGUUGAACCACAAACUCUCCAAAAUGUUUUUCUUGCUAUGGC
rnacentral:lncRNA from 1 species